CCUACGGGUGGCAGCAGUGAGGAAUAUUGGUCAAUGGUCGGGAGACUGAACCAGCCAAGCCGCGUGAGGGAUGAAGGUACAGAGUAUCGUAAACCUCUUUUGUCAGGGAACAAAGGCGGGGACGUGUCCCCGGAUGAGUGUACCUGAAGAAAAAGCAUCGGCUAACUCCGUGCCAGCAGCCGCGGUAAUACGGAGGAUGCGAGCGUUAUCCGGAUUUAUUGGGUUUAAAGGGUGCGUAGGCGGUUCGAUAAGUUAGAGGUGAAAUCCCGGGGCUCAACUCCGGCACUGCCUCUGAUACUGUCGGGCUAGAGUUUAGUUGCGGUAGGCGGAAUGUAUGGUGUAGCGGUGAAAUGCAUAGAGAUCAUACAGAACACCGAUUGCGAAGGCAGCUUACCAAACUACGACUGACGUUGAGGCACGAAAGCGUGGGGAGCAAACAGGAUUAGAUACCCGUGUAGUC
rnacentral:rRNA from 1 species